AGUCUGACGGACAACGCCGCGUGAGUGAUGAAGGUUUUCGGAUCGUAAAGCUCUGUUGCCCUAGACGAAUAGCAAGGAGAGUAACUGCUCUUUGUGUGACGGUAUAGGAGAAGAAAGCCCCGGCUAACUACGUGCCAGCAGCCGCGGUAAUACGUAGGGGGCAAGCGUUGUCCGGAAUUAUUGGGCGUAAAGCGCGCGCAGGCGGUUAAUUAAGUCUGGUGUUUAAGCCCGGGGCUCAACCCCGGUUCGCAUCGGAAACUGGUUGACUUGAGUGUAGGAGAGGAAAGUGGAAUUCCACGUGUAGCGGUGAAAUGCGUAGAGAUGUGGAGGAACACCAGUGGCGAAGGCGACUUUCUGGCCUAUAACUGACGCUGAGGCGCGAAAGCGUGGGGAGCAAACAGGAUUAGAUACCCUGGUAGUCCACGCCGUAAACGAUGAGUGCUAGGUGUUAGGGGUUUCGAUGCCCUUGGUGCCGAAGUUAACACAGUAAGCACUCC
rnacentral:rRNA from 1 species